rnacentral:rRNA from 1 species
AGCGCGGGUGCGAGUCGGAGGGUGCAAGCCCGUGGGCGAAGUGAAAGCGAGUGUAAAAACGAGCAGUUUGGGGCGGCAUAAGAUCGUUGAUCUUAAGACCGACCCAGAGCAGUUGCGCUGGGACCCGAAAGAUGGUGAACUAUGCCGGAGUAGGGCAAAGCCAGAGGAAACUCUGGUGGAGGCUCGUAGCGGUGCUGACGUGCAAAUCGCUCGUCGAACUUGGGUAUAGGGGCGAAAGACUAAUCGAACCAUCUAGUAGCUGGUUCCCUCCGAAGUUUCUCUCAGGAUAGCGGGCCGACAAGUUGUUUUGUGCGGUAAAGCGAAUGAUUAGCGCAUUCGGGGGCGUUUAGCCUUCGGGCGAUUCUCAAACUUUCAAUGCGCAAGGGUGCCGCUGCUUAAUUGAGCGGUACCGGUAAAAACGUCGGCCCUGUGGGCCACUUUUGGUAAGCAGAACUGGCGAUACGGGAUGAACCGUAAGCAAGGUUAAGGCGCCAAACUGCCCGCUUAUAGACCCCACAAAAGGUGUUGAUUCAUCGAGACAGCAGGACGGUGGCCAUGGAAGUCGGAAUCCGCCAAGGAGUGUGUAACAACUCACCUGCCGAAUGAAUUAGCCCUGAAAAUGGAUGGCGCUGAAGCGGGCGGCCGACACCUUGCCGUCUGGACAAGAAUUUCAGAUGAGUAGGAGGGCGUGGCGGCCGUGUCGAAGCGCGCGUGCAGACGCGUGUGGAACGGCCGCUAGUGCAGAUCUUGGUGGUAGUAGCAAGUAUUCAAGCGAGAUCCUUGAAGGGCGAAGUGGGGAAGGGUUUCACGCGAACAUUGAUUGGGCGUGAGUGAGUCGUUCCUAAGCCGAGUGGCAAUUGCUAAUUAACGGCGAAAGGGAAGCGGGUUGACAUUCCCGCACACGGAUGUGGAGGCGGCGACGCAUUAUUGGGGCGAACACGCUGGCGAUGGCGCUGGGCAGAGUUGUCUUUUCUGUUUGACCGCUUGCGCACGCAGUGUGGAAUCCGCUUGUCGGGAGAAACACGCGUGUACGGGCAGAGCGCUGGGGCUUUUCCAGCGUCCAGCUCGCCAUCGACGGCCCUUGAAACUUUGCCUGCUG